rnacentral:rRNA from 1 species
CCUACGGGACGCAGCAGUGGGGGAUAUUGCACAAUGGGGGGAACCCUGAUGCAGCGACGCCGCGUGGGUGAAGGAGCGUUUCGGCGCGUAAAGCCCUAUCGGCAGGGAAGAAGAGGACGGUACCUAACCAAGAAGCCCCGGCUAACAACGUGCCAGCAGACGCGGUAAUACGUAGGGGGCAAGCGUUAUCCGGAUUUACUGGGUGUAAAGGGAGCGUAGACGGACAGACAAGUCAGAAGUGAAAGCCCAGGGCACAACGCUGGGACUGCUUUUGAAACUGGCGGGCUGGAGUGCAGGAGAGGUAAGCGGAAUUCCUAGUGUAGCCGUGAAAUGCGUAGAUAUUAGGAGGAACCCCAGUGGCGAAGGCGGCUUACUGGACUGUAACUGACGUUGAGGCUCGAAAGCGUGGGGAGCAAACAGGAUUAGAUACCCUAGUAGUC